GACGAACGCUGGCGGCGUGCUUAACACAUGCAAGUCGAACGGAAAGGCCCUGCUUUUGUGGGGUGCUCGAGUGGCGAACGGGUGAGUAACACGUGAGUAACCUGCCCUUGACUUUGGGAUAACUUCAGGAAACUGGGGCUAAUACCGGAUAGGAGCUCCUGCUGCAUGGUGGGGGUUGGAAAGUUUCGGCGGUUGGGGAUGGACUCGCGGCUUAUCAGCUUGUUGGUGGGGUAGUGGCUUACCAAGGCUUUGACGGGUAGCCGGCCUGAGAGGGUGACCGGCCACAUUGGGACUGCGGUACGGCCCAGACUCCUACGGGAGGCAGCAGUGGGGAAUAUUGCACACUGGGCUGAAGCCUGAUGCAGCACCGCCGCGUUCGGGAUGACGGCCUUCGGGUUGUAAACCGCUUUCGCCUGUGACGAAGCGUGAGUGACGGUAAUGGGUAAAGAAGCACCGGCUAACUACGUG
rnacentral:rRNA from 1 species